rnacentral:rRNA from 1 species
GACGAACGCUGGCGGCGUGCUUAACACAUGCAAGUCGAACGGAAAGGCCCUGCCUGCAGAGUACUCGAGUGGCGAACGGGUGAGUAACACGUGGGUGAUCUGCCCUGCACUUCGGGAUAAGCUUGGGAAACUGGGUCUAAUACCGGAUAGGACCGCACUUUAGUGUGUGUGGUGGAAAGUUUUUUCGGUGUAGGAUGAGCUCGCGGCCUAUCAGCUUGUUGGUGGGGUAAUGGCCUACCAAGGCGGCGACGGGUAGCCGGCCUGAGAGGGUGUACGGCCACAUUGGGACUGAGAUACGGCCCAGACUCCUACGGGAGGCAGCAGUGGGGAAUAUUGCACAAUGGGCGCAAGCCUGAUGCAGCGACGCCGCGUGGGGGAUGAAGGCCUUCGGGUUGUAAACUCCUUUCGCUAGGGACGAAGCUUUUUGUGACGGUACCUAGAUAAGAAGCACCGGCUAACUACGUG